rnacentral:rRNA from 1 species
GAUGAACGCUGGCGGCGUGCUUAACACAUGCAAGUCGAGCGAAGCAAUCUAAGUGAAGUUUUCGGAUGGAUCUUGGAUUGACUGAGCGGGCGGACGGGUCGAGGUAACGGCGUGGAUAACCUGCCUCACACAGGGGGAUAACAGUUAGAAAUGACUGCUAAUACCGCAUAAGCGCACGGCAUCGCAUGAUACAGUGUGAAAAACUCCGGUGGUGUGAGAUGGAUCCGCGUCUGAUUAGGUAGUUGGUGGGGUAACGGCCCACCAAGCCGACGAUCAGUAGCCGGACUGAGAGGUUGAACGGCCACAUUGGGACUGAGAUACGGCCCAG